rnacentral:lncRNA from 1 species
AAGUGAGUGAAUCAUCUUCAUUGUACACGAUCUUUGUUUGAAGUCCCUGUUCUGACAGCACGGCCCGACCGACACUUGACUCAACUCUCUUCAGACGCUGAGCAGCGUUUUGAUAUGCGGGCCGUAACAAAGUUAAAAUGAGAAUCAUCGGACGACAGCGUUAACUAAUGACACGUCUGAGCGAUAUUAUGGAAACACAAGGCAAAUUACUAUAUUCGAAGCUUUUUCACAAGCACAGACAGGUAGAAGUUGCUUUAAACUGCAGUAUUUUGUCGUGGAAGGAAAUUGAGAGGAGCAGAAAACGAAGCUCUGGCAUCAGCAACAGUGCUGAGACAGAAAGCACAUCGUGGGUUUAUUGGAGCCUUUCCCACUCCAACAGCUGCCUCCUACAUCUGGAGAUGAAGCUGCACACAGCCACGCUGUUCAGGUGUGUGAAAUAG